GGGGAUUUAGCUCAGUGGUAGAGCACUUGCCUAGCAAGCGCAAGGCCCUGGAUUCAGUCCCCA
rfam:Rattus norvegicus chromosome 16, whole genome shotgun sequence.